rnacentral:misc_RNA from 1 species
UUAUAUUCCUAGCGUUUGCUUUCAUUUGGAAUUGAGAGAAAAUCAGUUGCUCAAAGGAUGGCUUGCCUGCACGAUCACGAUUGCGCCGACCAUAACUGUUCCUCUGAUUGGUCUCUCUUCAAGCAUAUCGACCUUCCAAAGGUGUCUGCUUUGAAUGAGGCUGUCACGGGAAGUGUCAAAUCAGUUUUUAAACCAUGGGAGCAGCGUUUGAAUUCUUCAGAGGGCCACUUGGAAAGCAAUGAAGGUGAUCCAGAACUGAUUGUUUUCAUUCCGUUCACAGCUGAUGUUAAAAUCAAGAGCAUAGCUAUUGUUGGUGGUGCUGAUGGAACAAGUCCAUCUAAGAUGAGGGCAUUCGUCAAUCGAGAUGGCAUUGAUUUUUCAGAUGCUCAAUCUAUGCAAGCGAUUCAGGAAUGGGAUUUAGCUGAGAAUUUGCAAGGAGUUUUAGAGUACCAGACGAGGUAUUCUAGGUUUCAAAGUGUGGGAAAUAUCACUUUGCAUUUCCCUGAUAAUUUUGGUGCUGAUACAACACGAAUACAGUAUAUUGGCUUGAAAGGAGAAGCCACACAGAUGAAGAGGGACGUUGUUGCAAAUAUUGUUUAUGAGAUUAUGCCUAACCCCUCUGAUCACAAGACUCAGGCUGAGACUGGCGGAGGCUUUUCACAUGUGGAAUAAGCUUGUGGUAAAAGCAACUCUUAUGAGUAAAGUGCUUUCUCUAUGAUGUACACUGCGGUGGAGCUUAUAUAUACUCAAAAAAUACCCAGGAAUUAUUAGACAAUUUACUGAAAGUUUCAUUAACUUCCCCAGACCCCUUUCCCCCACCCCCACCCCCCACCCCGCCCAGCCCCACUCAGAUAUACCGAGAAAUUACUAGAUGA